rnacentral:rRNA from 1 species
CAGCGGGGGAUAAGCUUGCUUUUCCUGCCGGCGACCGGCGCACGGGUGAGUAACACGUAUGCAACCUGCCUCUGUCAGAGGGAUAAUCCGGAGAAAUCCGGUCUAAUAUCGCAUAAAGCGUUUGCGGGGCAUCCUGCGAGCGCCAAAGGAGUAAUCCGGACAGGGAUGGGCAUGCGGCGCAUUAGCUAGUUGGGGGGGUAACGGCCCACCAAGGCGACGAUGCGUAGGGGUUCUGAGAGGAAGGUCCCCCACAUUGGUACUGAGACACGGUCCAAACUCC